AUAUGUGUUAGGAAAGUCCGGGCAUCACAGAGCAGGAUAGCUGCUAACGGCAGCCGAGGGCGACCUUAGGGACAGUGCAGCAGAAAAUAUACCGCCUCUGAAAAGAGGUAAGGGUGGAAUGGUGAGGCAAGAGCUCACCGGAGCGGCGGAGACGCCGCUGCCGUGUAAACCCUAUCCGAUGCAACGUCUAUUGGUACGUGUACGUCAAUGUCUGCUCGGCAGACGUACCGUAAUGACGGCUAAAGCGUUUCGGCGACGAUUCGCUCAGAUAGAUUUCCGCACACGACAAAACCCGGCUUAUCGGCUUAGUC
rnacentral:RNase_P_RNA from 1 species